AGCUUUCUCUGGAAAUGAAAUCAAGCAGCUUUCCUUGUAUUGAAAGGUAAACCAGUGGACUGACUGUUUUGUUGAGUGGCCAUUGGCUAAUUCAGAAGAGAAAGCGACUGAAGACAGAGUGUUCCAAGAACCAAGAGAAUGAAUGUGGCUGAUGUGUGGAGAGAAGAGAUGGACCAAGAUGAGACUGGAAAGGCUACUGCUGGGGCUGUUGAAGAAACUGGGGAUUCAGAAACCGAAAAUAGAUC
rnacentral:lncRNA from 1 species